AGGCCAAAACGGACUCUUCCGUUUAAUAUUUGGGUUCAUCAAUAGAUAUGCAGGCUUUUGUGCAUGUGACAUCAGAUAUCGAUGGUUUCACAGAGAGAAAAAAAAUUGGCAAAAUGCAUUGUCUACGGGAUAUUUGAUUUCCAAAAUUAAACAUGAAUCACGACUUUGUCAAAGCAGGCAGAUUCUGUACACUUUGUUUUGCGGACACAGGGACGCAGUAGUGCAACUUCAAGAGGUCAAUAAAGCAAAAGAAAAGAGAAUGAUUAAGAGGAUGAUGUUGAUAGUGAUACCCACUGCAAUUAAACAGUUUGAUUAAACGGGGCAUCAUAACAACAAUGAUGUUUGGGAAAACCCCCCUCACAUAAAAAAGUAAGAUAAUGCAGCGGUUGACAAACGCCAGUGGGCAUUCCAACAGGACGCUGCCUGUGAGUAUACCAAGGACUGUUGACAGUGUAGGACAGCAUCGAAAAUUCACUCUCAAAAUACUUUUACGCGUUGUUUCCCAUCUCUUUUUAAAAUAAGAAAGAGACGUACAGCUUCUGAAGAUCCAGCUACCCUCCGAGACGGUCCUCCAAUAAGCAUUCUUCUGCUAUACUGUACUGGCGACUCGUCUUGCAACAGAGUAAGUACAGCCGCGUCCUGCCAUUCAAAGAUACCAACUUUACUCCUAUUCAUAUUUAUGUAACAUGCGUACGAAAUUUUGCAGAUUUCUGUUAUCGAUAGGAGAUACCCCCAACCAACUGAGAAUCGAAUCCUGAAAUGCAGCCUUUUAUAUAAUAUUUCAAUCGGGAUUCGAGUAGCUGCCGUUCAAAUAAUGCAAAUCGGUGUCCGCUUAUGGAGUGCAUCUCCAUCAACAAGCAGAUAGCAGGGGAUAGCCGAAGAUUGCUUUAACAGCCGGUAUCAGUUCAUUACGGAGUGGUGGGAAGUACAAUAUCUGGUACAAAGUCAUAACAAGGAAGGAGUCAAGAAAGGAAGGCGAUAAAUACUGGAGACUUGCAGUUAUUUUCGUGCCCUCGUUAAAAAGAGACGCAUUUGAAUGUUCUCGGCGUUGACCACAGUUAACGCUGGUUUUGCUUUGAUGUUGAUUGUCCUUCAGUCCAAGUUUAUGUGUGUUGUUUCGGAGCGUGUGAUUUCCUCCCCUCCCCCCCCCCCCCCGGAUUGUAUAAGAUAUAUUCCAACCCUCGCUGCAAAAGUUUGAAGUCUCUACUUGUUCAGGAAAUGAGAGAUCGUGAUUUCAAUUCCCACCGCCUCCACACCCUCCCCCAACAACAAAAAGUGGGAAGGAAGAUCGAGGACGAUUAUUGGUGAACUUUGCCUGACCCCAAUGUAAGUCCAGGCUGAAGGAAAAUCUCCCCACUGAGCAUUCUGGAAGAAGACAAUGACCAUAACUCCCAUAUUUAAACGGAGCAAUCGACAGCAUCGAUUCAUCUACAGUCUCCAAAGUCCUUACUUUAAAAUGCAGCACAGCCCAUGGCUUCCCGGCAGAGGAAAAGCAAAUGUCGUUAAAAAAAAACUAAUGUAAAGGAAUGCCCGGUUGUUGAGUAAGCAAUAAGGUAGUGGAUGAACUGUUGUUUUGUGGAGGUCAGGUCACGGGCGAGUUUUUCUCCCGCAGAUCAUUAGGUGUAAUUGGGUGAGUUUAAGUGGAGUUGGGAAUGCCCGUACUUAAGUUAAUAGCAAUGACCUUCUUGCCGCUAUCCUGUCCAACAUUACUCAUCUUUACCCAGGCCGAUUUGAAAGCGAUUGCCACCCUAGACUUCCAGAGAUAUUACAGGAUACUAACCCUGUAAUUGUAUUCCAGAAAGUUCCGUUACAUUUUUAUUUGUUCUUUAAUGUUAUGUAAGCAAAACAGAUACAAUUUUAUCCUUGUCUGUGUGAAUCAAUCAGAUUAAACCCAUGCUUCAGCGAUAAGCAUAUUGAUUCCUUGGAUUGCUAUACAUGUUUUCAAAGCCUAUUGUACUUCAUUACAGCAGAGGCUGUAAGGUAAAAUAUUUAAAAAUAAAAUCAUUCUUGUG